rnacentral:rRNA from 1 species
AUUGAACGCUGGCGGCAUGCUUUACACAUGCAAGUUGAACGGCAGCGCGGGCUUCGGCCUGGCGGCGAGUGGCGAACGGGUGAGUAAUGCAUCGGAACGUGCCCAGUAGUGGGGGAUAGCCCAGCGAAAGCCGGAUUAAUACCGCAUACGACCUGAGGGUGAAAGCGGGGGACCGAAAGGCCUCGCGCUAUUGGAGCGGCCGAUGUCGGAUUAGCUAGUUGGUGGGGUAAAGGCUUACCAAGGCGACGAUCCGUAGCUGGUCUGAGAGGACGACCAGCCACACUGGGACUGAGACACGGCCCAGACUCCUACGGGAGGCAGCAGUGGGGAAUUUUGGACAAUGGGGGCAACCCUGAUCCAGCCAUGCCGCGUGCGGGAAGAAGGCCUUCGGGUUGUAAACCGCUUUUGUUCGGGAAGAAAUCCUCUGGGCUAAUACCCCGGGGGGAUGACGGUACCGGAAGAAUAAGCACCGGCUAACUACGUG